CUUUAGCAUUAAUUGUGCAGGAGACUGUUCAUUUAAACUUUAUUGUGGUAACGUUAAAUGCUCGCUCGUUUUGCAAAGUUACGUUUGGAGAUUCAUGUUAACAGUCAUUGUUUAAUGAAAGGCACAUUGGACUACGGGUUAGUAUGUGUGACACUUGCAGCACUUUAACGUAAAUCUUUAACACCGUGUCAUAAAUAGACGUGACACGCGGUAACGGGUUUCUUUUCAGUUUAUGUCCUGACGUUAAUAGGACGGGAUAUUAUAAAUUAUGCCUUUCGAUUAUCGCGACGCCUCGUCGCGUUUGGUUAAGCACAUGGUGGAUCAGUAUGCACGUCACUGUACCUACUGUACACCUGUGAGCGGCAUGACGAGACAAAAGACGGUAAAACUCAUUAUUAUUCGGUGAUGCUGUAACAUACUGGAUGCACCACCACAUUUUAUAAUAAUGUUUUUUAUUUUCGUGUCGCGCCCUCGCGUUCAACAUAACGUAGUGGUCUAAAUGUAAGGAGUCAAACUUUACGAACCUUUCACUGCUUGCAGUAAGGCUGAAGUGCUAGGUAGUGAAUAAAAUGGGUGUAGUCUUGUGCUACUAGAUGUAAAUCACAAUUCUUGUGUCAAUGUUUGUUUGUAAUCUUUUUCAGCUAUCCAUCUGAAAAAGAAAAGCUGGCACUCGCAAAGGAGAUUGUGUUGUUGGAUUAUGGUCUCAUUUGGUCAAAAUGAGGGACAUGUACUGAGCAUUUUUCUUUAUUUUUUCUUUUUUUUUUUGAUGGGCCAUCACACAGUGGAUUUAUAAAAAUGAGACUACAGAACAUCAGACGGAAGCUUCAAUGGAGUUGACGUGAGAGGACAUCAUCAAUAAAGAAUGCCAUUGACCAAACCUUCAGUCAUCAACGGAGAUGGAUACAGGUGGACAUCAAGUUUUCCAGACUUACCGAUAGGAAAGAAGACAUGUUUAUCAGGAAAUGGGAGGUGACAAUUAUUGAGAAACUCAGGGAAAUAGCAUCUUUAGAGAAGAAAAUGGACAUCAGACAUUCAUUGAAGAAAGCUGACAGUCAACAUAAUGAUCUUCUGCUGUGUGAAUUCUGUGUGAAGUCUCAGACCUGUGGGACUUGGUGGCGGCUGGUACCAGCGUGACCUCUUUGCUUACUAAAUGAUGAAAAGGUGUCUAAAAUCAGCUCAGCCACAGUUGGUUUCCAGCGGUUCUUCAGGACAUAGAGGCCACUAUGUAAUUGUCGCAAUGAAUGAUUCUCUUGCCUUUCCACUUGAUGUUUACAAUCUGACCUGUGCGGUAGAAAGACUUUUCAAAUUUACUAGCUAAGUAACCUUAAGUAUCCCUGCCAACUGUCUUCAGGUUUUUUUUUGGUAUGAAUAUGAUCUACCCUUGUCCCAGUCCUCUUGCAAACGAUCCAAGGCAAUGGAGUUUCAAAAUGGAUCGAAAAUUGCAGUCUGUUUUAACCAAUACAUGCACUGUGUGGCGGUUUCUCGGACAGGGAUUAGACUAGUCCUAGACUAAAACAUUUUUAAGAGCUGUCCAAACUGAAAACAACUUGCACUGACAUAUCUUUAAAUACAUCAGUGCCCUUUGUUUUGCCUCAAAAUGCACACAGGUAAUGUUUUUAGUAAGGCAUGUUUGUUAAAACCAGAUAUAUUUCCUAAUUAAUCUAAGGCCUAGUCCUGGAUUAAGAUAAUCCCUGUCCGGGAAACCGCCCCUAAAUAUUUUGUGAUGGAAAUUUCUUUGAAUACACUUGUCAAGUUCAUUUGAAGUAUUUUUCUUAAUGUAAAAUAACGUGUUAAUGUUUCAGGACAAGGUAAGAAUUUUUGAUAACUUGUAUGUUGAAAACGAUUUCAGACAUUGUUUCAACAUGUUUAACACAUGUGCUUUUAAAUUCAAUGAAUUAUUUUAUAAAUGGUGUUUUUUUAUGUAUGAAUGUAAUGUAUGUUUGAAGUGAUUAUACUUGCACUUAAAUUUAUUUAAAUUAGCAUACAUCUUGCAGCAUAAAGUACUAGCAUAUUUUCAUGCUAGCAUUAAUUGUCAAAUAUUUAUUAUUAUACAAAUAAAUGUUGUGAACAAUA